rnacentral:tRNA from 1 species
GUCUCCGUAGCUCAGUCGGAUAGAGCAGGUUCCUCCUAAGAACAAGGUCGCAGGUUCGACUCCUGCCGGGGACGCCA